rnacentral:rRNA from 1 species
CCCUUAGAUGUCCUGGGCUGCACGCGCGCUACACUGAUGUGUCCAGUAAGCACCUAACCUCUUCCGAAAGGAACGGGUAACCUUUGCAAAGCACAUCGUGAUGGGGAUAGAUUAUUGCAAUUAUUAGUCUUGAACGAGGAAUUCCUAGUAAGCACAAGUCAUCAGCUUGUGUUGAUUACGUCCCUGCCCUUUGUACACACCGCCCGUUGCUCCUACCGAUUGAAUGUUCCGGUGAGCUCUUCGGACUGCGCGGUCUGCAGUUUCUGCGUUCCGUGCGGAAAGUUGCGCAAACCUUAACAUUUAGAGGAAGGAGAAGUCGUAACA